CAAACAUACAGUCAAUAACACAAUAGAAAAAAAAGAAAGUCUAUAUACAGUGUGUGCAAAUGGCGUGAGGAGGUAAGGCAAUAAAUAGGCCAUAGUAGCGAAGUAAUUACAAUUUAGCAGAUUAACACGAGUGAUACAGUGGGGCAAAAAAGUAUUUAGUCAGACACCAAUUGUGCAAGUUCUCCCACUUAAAAAGAUGAGAGGCCUGUAAUUUAUCAUAGGUACACUUCAACUAUGACAGACAAAAUGAGAAAAAAAAUCCACAAAAUCACAUUGCAGGGUUUUUAAUGAAUUUAUUUGCAAAUUAUGGUGAUCCAGUCCACUAGAUCCAGUCCACUAGACCCAGUCCAUCUCCAUCCAGUCCACUAGAUCCAAUCCAUCUCCAUCCAGUCCACUAAAUCCAGUCCACUAGACCCAGUCCAUCUCCAUCCAGUCCACUAGAUCCAAUCCAUCUCCAUCCAGUCCACUAGACCCAGUCUACUAGAUCCAGUCCAUCUCAGGUAGUCAUUACAGUAAUGUUGUCCCAGUGUGCACAGACUCCUAAGAGCUGUGAGGUAGUACCUGGUGGGUUGCUGAUUGGCUUAUACUUUAAAGCAGUUAACUGUGUAAAAUAUAGUCAUUAACUUACCUAACUAGCUGCCCUCUGACCAUGAGGUUAUUAACUUACCUAACUAGUUGCCCUCUGACCAUGAGGUCAUUAACUUACCUAACUAGCUGCCCUCUGACCAUGAGGUUAUUAACUUCUAUCUCCUCCAUCUUGGCUCCAACAUGGCUCUAUCUCCUCCAUCUUGGCUCCAACAUGGCUCUAUCUCCUCUAAGACUGUGUUCUUCUAUCUCCUCCAUCUUGGCUCUAUCUCUCCAUGGCUCUCUAUGUUAGUGGGUUACUCCCUGUUGUCAGAUCGUACUAGAGUAAUCACUGUGUGUGGUGUAUUGUGGUGGUGAAGGUGGUUCUUCCUGGUCCUCUCCUCACUGGCCCCGGAGCUUCAGGAUGGUUUCCACAGCCUCUGCCAGGUUGUCCACAUAGCCAUCAGCUGUUACUGUGGGGUGCUUCUCAUCACUGGGCCUACAGAGAGAGACAGAGAGAGAGACAGAGAGAGACAGACAGACAGACAGAGAGAGACAGACAGACAGACAGAGAGAGACAGACAGACAGACAGACAGAGACAGACAGGCAGAGACAGACAGACAGACAGACAGGAGACAGACAGAGACAGAGAGAGACAGACAGACAGGCAGAGACAGACAGACAGACAGGCAGAGACAGAGACAGACAGACAGAGAGAGAGACAGACAGACAGACAGACAGACAGACAGACAGAGACAGAGAGACAGAGAAACAGACAGACAGACAGACAGAGAGAGAGAGGGACAGAGAGACAGAGAAACAGACAGAGAGAGAGAGAAACAGACAGAGACAGACAGACAGAAACAAACAGACAGACAGAGACAGAGACAGAGACAGAGAGGGACAGAGAGAGGCUGAAUGCAGUGUUGUGCAGCAUUGAACAUUGAGGAGGUCAUACAUGCCUUGUGUUAACUGUCUGUCAACAAAUCAAAUCACAUUUUAUUUGUCACAUGCGCAGAAUACAACAGGUUACAGUGAAACAGCGUACUGUACAAGCCCUUAGCCGACAGGUGUAGACCUUACAGUGAAACAGCGUACUGUACAAGCCCUUAACCAAGUCAACAAACAGGUCACUGACCAUCUCGAAUCCCACCGUACCUUCUCCGCUGUGCAAUCUGGUUUCCGAGCCGGUCACGGGUGCACCUCAGCAUCACUCAAGGUAAUAAACGAUAUCAUAACCGCCAUCGAUAAAAGACAGUACUGUGCAGCCGUCUUCAUCGACCUUGCCAAGGCUUUCGACUCUGUCAAUCACCAUAUUCUUAUCGGCAGACUCAGUAGCCUCGGUUUUUCGGAUGACUGCCUUGCCUGGUUCACCAAUUACUUUGCAGACAGAGUUCAGUGUGUCAAAUCGGAGGGCAUGCUGUCCGGUCCUCUGGCAGUCUCUAUGGGGGUGCCACAGGGUUCAAUUCUCGGGCCAACUCUUUUCUCUGUAUAUAUCAAUGAUGUUGCU
ensembl:lncRNA